rnacentral:lncRNA from 1 species
GACUUUCUUGAGCACAAGGUCACCUUCUCGGAACACACGAGGCUUGACCUUCUUGUCGAAUGCUUUCUUCACUCUCUGCUGAUAUAACUGACCAUUCACGAAAGACAAGACUUUCUUGAGCACAAGGUCACCUUCUCGGAACACACGAGGCUUGACCUUCUUGUCGAAUGCUUUCUUCACUCUCUGCUGAUAUAACUGACCAUGACACAUGGCAGUUAAUCUCUUCUUUCGAUCGGAUUCACUUGGUCAUAACGACUCUGAAUCCAUUCAGCAUCAGCCAACUUGGGACUUGAGGGUGCUAUUUCUCUUUUGUUUCUUUCUUUCUUUUUUCUUUCUUUUGAUUUCUUUU